rnacentral:rRNA from 1 species
UACGAAGGGGGCCAGCGUUGCUCGGAAUCACUGGGCGUAAAGGGUGCGUAGGCGGGUCUUUAAGUCAGGGGUGAAAUCCUGGAGCUCAACUCCAGAACUGCCUUUGAUACUGAGGAUCUUGAGUACGGGAGAGGUGAGUGGAACUGCGAGUGUAGAGGUGAAAUUCGUAGAUAUUCGCAAGAACACCAGUGGCGAAGGCGGCUCACUGGCCCGUAACUGACGCUGAGGCACGAAAGCGUGGGGAGCAAACAGG